rnacentral:rRNA from 1 species
CCUACGGGUGGCAGCAGUGGGGAAUAUUGGGCAAUGGGCGCAAGCCUGACCCAGCAACGCCGCGUGAAGGAAGAAGGCUUUCGGGUUGUAAACUUCUUUUAUCAGGGACGAAGCCAGUGACGGUACCUGAUGAAUAAGCCACGGCUAACUACGUGCCAGCAGCCGCGGUAAUACGUAGGUGGCAAGCGUUAUCCGGAUUUCCUGGGUGUAAAGUGCGUGUAGGCGGGAGUGCAAGUCAGAUGUGAAAACUAUGGGCUCAACCCAUAGCCUGCAUUUGAAACUGUACUUCUUGAGUACUGGAGAGGCAGACGGAAUUCCUAGUGUAGCGGUGAAAUGCGUAGAUAUUAGGAGGAACACCAGUGGCGAAGGCGGUCUGCUGGACAGCAACUGACGCUGAGGCGCGAAAGCGUGGGGAGCAAACAGGAUUAGAUACCCUUGUAGUC